GACGAACGCUGGCGGCGUGCUUAACACAUGCAAGUCGAGCGGAAAGGCUUCCUUCGGGAAGUACUCGAGCGGCGAACGGGUGAGUAACACGUGGAUAAUCAACCUCUUGCUCUGGAAUACCCCGGGGAAACUCGGAUCAAUGCCAGAUAAAGUGCGGUGCUGUUGGGUGCCGUACCAAAGAUAGCUUCGGCCUUCGGCGAGAGACGAGUCCG
rnacentral:rRNA from 1 species